AAUUAAUUUCUUUUACUUUCAUAAAUACCAUGCUGGUGUCUUUCUGGUUCAUUUCUAUAAUAUCCGCCAAGUAGGUAGCAUCAAGUAACUACAGACCUAAUUGGCACCCAGGAGAAGGGCGUGGCCCUAGCCUUAACACGUCCGUUUUGGGCCAGAGAUUAGUAUGUUCCCCAGAUAAGUAACCACGUGAAUAGUAAAGUAGCACUUCCUCGAGACAGUCACCCAUGGGUUCGACGAACAGUUAAUUAGUUCCGGAGGCAACCACCGUAGAUCAAAUUUCCACCUGACGCCUCCCGAAGAAGAUCUGGAGCUGUAGAUAACCUAGGACAGCACCGGAAGAAGCCUUUACACCACAAGCUAAGUUUUUAAUUGAAUCUUGCAUUUGCCUGUCAGCAGAGACAGUUUUUUAUAUAAAGUAACUUCACAAUGACUAUAAUGUAGAUCCUGAAUUAUAACCAAAGAAAUGAGAAAAUAAAGCAUUUAUACCGAAA
rnacentral:lncRNA from 1 species